rnacentral:rRNA from 1 species
UACGUAGGGUGCAAGCGUUGUCCGGAAUUAUUGGGCGUAAAGAGCUCGUAGGCGGUCUGUCGCGUCUGCUGUGAAAACUCGGGGCUUAACCCCGGGCCUGCAGUGGGUACGGGCAGACUAGAGUGCGGUAGGGGAGACUGGAAUUCCUGGUGUAGCGGUGAAAUGCGCAGAUAUCAGGGGGAACACCGGUGGCGAAGGCGGGUCUCUGGGCCGU